UAACAAAAUGAACUUCUCUCGUGUUGUGUUUUUAAUAUUUGCUUACUUUACCGCUUUCACCAUAACUGCGGCCUACGAGUGGGAAUCAAUUAUAAAAAAGCUGAACGCCGCUGCUAGUUGGUGUCCCCACGACAUCACUCCGAAGCCAAUGGUGAAAGUCAUCACGCAAGCAUCUAUCGGAUCAAAAGGACAACCACAACAAUAAAGUUGUUUUAAUUCUUUUCAUAUAUCAUUAAUGUUGAUAAUAAAUAUUCUUUGUGAGACGUA